GUAUGGGUAGCUGGCGAAGACAUUAUACUCGGGGAUAAGAUAAGGUGAGGUGGCGUGCAACCUAGUAAGGGGGAGGAUGUGGCUUGGGAGUGACGGCAGCUAGGGGGGCACACGGCCGCGGCCGGGUGCGUGCAGUGGCAUGGCGGUUGGUGUGAUAGUGCACGGCAGCGCAACGCAGCUGCGCGGAGGGAGGGGAUGCCGGUGGUGGUGGCGCUGACUGAGGGCGAAGUAGGCCUAGGCUGUGGAGAUGGGCCGG
rnacentral:lncRNA from 1 species